CCUACGGGAGGCAGCAGUGGGGAAUCUUGCGCAAUGGGCGAAAGCCUGACGCAGCAACGCCGCGUGCGGGAAGAAGGCUUUCGGGCUGUAAACCGCUUUCAGCAGGAACGAAAAUGACGGUACCUGCAGAAGAAGGAGCGGCCAACUAUGUGCCAGCAGCCGCGGUGAUACAUAGGCUUCAAGCGUUGUCCGGAUUUAUUGGGCGUAAAGAGUUCGUAGGCGGUCGAGUAAGUCGGGUGUGAAAAUUCUGGGCUCAACCCAGAGACGCCACCCGAUACUGCUUGACUUGAGUUCGAUAGGGGAGUGGGGAAUUCCUAGUGUAGCGGUGAAAUGCGCAGAUAUUAGGAGGAACACCGGUGGCGAAGGCGCCACUCUGGAUCGAUACUGACGCUGAGGAACGAAAGCAUGGGUAGCAAACAGGAUUAGAUACCCUGGUAGUCCAUGCCGUAAACGGUGGGCACUAGGUGUGGGUUUCUAUUAACGAAAUCCGCGCCGUCGCUAACGCAUUAAGUGCCCCGCCUGGGGAGUACGGUCGCAAGCUAAAACCNCAAAUGAAUUGACGGCUGNGAGNGCGACGACGACGACGAGGAGGUAGG
rnacentral:rRNA from 1 species